rnacentral:rRNA from 1 species
UACGUAGGGGGCAAGCGUUGUCCGGAUUUAUUGGGCGUAAAGAGCGUGUAGGCGGCUUUACAGGUCCGUUGUGAAAACUCGAGGCUCAACCUCGAGACGCCGGUGGAAACCGUAAGGCUAGAGUCCGGAAGAGGCGAGUGGAAUCCUGGUGUAGCGGUGGAAUGCGCAGAUAUCAGGAGGAACACCAAUAGCGAAGGCAGCUCGCUGGGACGUUACUGACACUGGAGG